CUGAUAUGCACACACAACACCUGUCACCAGAACCUGCAUUUAGAAAUAUUUUUGUCUAGUGUUAACUAUACUUAAGCUAUUGGCUAAACAAUAUUGCCAAUAAUGUGGCUUCUGUGUGAUUUUGGGGGGGUGGGUCUGAGCAGCCAGAAAUGAAUUAAGAGCCUCUGCCUACACUUCCUCCUCUGGAUCCUUGAUGUGGGAACAUACAUCCUCAAUCCAGAUCUUCUAAAGUGGGAAGACCCACCUUUAAUCUUGCUGGCAGUCUAUAUAAAGAAUAUGGAAGAAGGUAGCUAGCUUUCUUUUCCUGUUUGUUUUCAUUGGCACUAGAGCCUACUUCUUCAUGAUUCUUACAGAUUCUGAAGACCAGCUGAAACAUCCAACCUCAUGGACUGAACAAUUACUGGAUUCUUGGACAUUUCAUUGAAUGUCUGACAGACUCUUUCAUGAAGCAGGAACCCUGAAGGAUCUUUUCACCUUUAGGCAAGUUUAGCUUACAUUUCUCUGUGGGUCUUGCAUGUCCAGUUUGUACAGCAUAGCAUCAAGCAGUCCAGGCAAGAGCAAUUUCUUGCCCAGAUGGCUAACCAAUACCAUAAGGUGCCCAACAUCCUCUUGAAGCAGAUGGUGCUGACAGGAGCAGAUGAGUCUCAUUGUCAUGAAAAGUCUAAGUUUGUACUUAAAGUUGACAACCAAGAAUAGUCAUCACAUAUUAGCUGCAUGUUAGUGGACUUUGAUGUGAUACUUCCUUAAACGAAUAUAGUAUGCACUGGUCAAAACCAACACCCAUUUUCUUUGUGAGCCUGGCCUACUUUCAAUUCAACAUUUCCUAGCUUCCAUCUACGAUAGAGGACAUGCAGUAACUACCUCUGUGCCUGACUUGUUUUAAGUAAACUAUUUCCCCCAUUUCUACCCAUUUUGCGGCAAAGGACAGUUCCCUUGUUCUUCAUAACACCAGGUGUAUAUACACCAUAUUUUGCUAAAAUAUACUUCAAAUCUACAAAGUUUAGUAUAAAGAAACUUUAAAAUUAUAAUUUUAAGACCAUCUAUACAACAGAUAUGUUGUUGAAAGUCAGAAUGUACCUUAAAAGUCUUAUAUUUGAGAACUUUGGCAGCUCAUUCUCUAUAUUUCAGUUUAAACUUCAGAAACCAGCACCUUUGCUUUCAUUGUUUUUUUCUGGACUUACUUAAUCCAUAUUUCCUCCUUUUACAAAUACAUCUCUACACAGAGAAAAGGGUAAGAAAAGGCCUCAAUGGGAUGCUUCUGUUGGUGAUCCACUUUGUUUUCAGGAUAAAAAUGACCCCAACACAGAAUUAAAUUUCAAGGAGUUGGUCCUCACCACCCUCAACCUCUUUUUUGCUGGCAUGGAAACUGAGUGUCACCUUAUGCUAUUAAUUCUUGCUGCUGCUGAAAUAUUCCAAAGUGAAGGGGUUUUGGAGGAGAAGUUCCUGGCUAGCCUGUACUUGCAAUAAAGAAGUUAACCUUG